GUGAGGAAUAUUGGUCAAUGGACGAGAGUCUGAACCAGCCAAGUCGCGUGAAGGAAGACGGUUCUAUGAAUUGUAAACUUCUUUUGUGCAGGAAUAAAGUGGGUUACGUGUAACCUUUUGUAUGUACUGUACGAAUAAGGAUCGGCUAACUCCGUGCCAGCAGCCGCGGUAAUACGGAGGAUCCGAGCGUUAUCCGGAUUUAUUGGGUUUAAAGGGUGCGUAGGUGGAUUGAUAAGUCAGCGGUGAAAGUUUGCAGCUUAAGUGUAAAAUUGCCGUUGAAACUGUCGGUCUUGAGUGCAAAUGAGGUAGGCGGAAUGUGUUGUGUAGCGGUGAAAUGCUUAGAUAUAACACAGAACUCCGAUUGCGAAGGCAGCUUACUGGGAUGCAACUGACACUGAUGCACGAAAGCGUGGGUAUCAAACAGGAUUAGAAACCCCUGUAGUCC
rnacentral:rRNA from 1 species